UAGUCCAUGGGGCGAGCCUGACGGAGCAUACCGCGUGAGGGAAGACUGCCUAUGGGUUGUAAACCUCUUUUUUCAGGGAGGAAUAAAAUGACGUGUACCUGAAAAAUAAGCAUCGGCUAACUCCGUGCCAGCACCCGCGGUAAGACGGAGGAUGCAAGUGUUAUCCGGAAUCACUGGGCGUAAAGCGUCUGUGGGUGGUUUAAUAAGUCAACUGUUAAAUCUUGAGGCUCAACUUCAAAAUCGCAGUCGAAACUAUUAGACUAGAGUAUAGUAGAGGUAAAGGGAAUUUCCAGUGGAGCGGUGAAAUGCGUAGAUAUUGGAAAGAACACCGAUGGCGAAAGCACUUUACUGGGCUAUUACUAACACUCAGAGACGAAAGCUAGGGUAGCAAAUGGGAUUAGAUACCCCAGUAGUCCUAGCCGUAAACUAUGGAUACUAGAUGUUGAACAGAUCGACCUGUGCAGUAUCAAAGCUAACGCGUUAAGUAUCCCGCCUGGGAAGUAUGCUCGCAAGAGUGAAACUCAAAGGAAUUGACGGA
rnacentral:rRNA from 1 species